rnacentral:rRNA from 1 species
UACGUAGGGCGCGAGCGUUGUCCGGAAUUAUUGGGCGUAAAGAGCUCGUAGGCGGCCGGUUGCGUCUGCUGUGAAAUCCCGGGGCUUAACCCCGGGCGUGCAGUGGAUACGGGCCGGCUGGAGGCAGGCAGGGGAGAAUGGAAUUCCCGGUGUAGCGGUGAAAUGCGCAGAUAUCGGGAGGAACACCGGUGGCGAAAGCGGCUCUCUGGGACGGUACUGACGCUGAGACGCGAAAGCGUGGGGAGCAAACAGG